GACGAACGCUGGCGGCGUGCCUAAUACAUGCAAGUAGGACGCAGUUGCGAACGGGUGAGUAACGCGUAGGUAACUACCUAUUAGAGGGGGAUAACUAUUGGAAACGAUAGCUAAUACCGCAUACUAGUAGCUGGACCUGCGUUGUAUUAGCUAGUAGGUAGGGUAAUGGCCUACCUAGGCAACGAUACAUAGCCGCCCUGGGAGGGUGAGCGGCCACACUGUGACUGUGACACGGCCCAGACUCCUACGGGGAGCAGCAGUAGGGAAUCUUCGUCAAGGGGGGGAACCCUAACCGAGCAACGCCGCGUGAGUGAAGAAGGUUUUCGGAUCAUAAAACUCUGUUGUUAAGGAAGCGGUACUUAGCCGAAAAGGGACGGCUAACUACGUGCCAGCCGCCGCGGUAAUUC
rnacentral:rRNA from 1 species